AGUUAUCGUUUAUUUGAUAGUACCUUACUACUUGGAUAACCGUGGUAAUUCUAGAGCUAAUACAUGCUAAAAACCCCGACUCACGGAGGGAUGUAUUUAUUAGAUUAAAAACCAAUGCCUUCGGGGCUCCUUGGUGAUUCAUAAUAACUUCUCGAAUCGCAUGGCCUUGUGCCGGCGAUGGUUCAUUCAAAUUUCUGCCCUAUCAACUUUCGAUGGCAGGGUCUUGGCCUGCCAUGGUUACAACGGGUAACGGAGGGUUAGGGCUCGACCCCGGAGAAGGAGCCUGAGAAACGGCUACUACAUCCAAGGAAGGCAGCAGGCGCGCAAAUUACCCAAUCCCGAUCCGGGGAGGUAGUGACAAUAAAUACUGAUACAGGGCUCUUUUGGGUCUUGUAAUUGGAAUGAGUACAAUUUAAAUCCCUUAACGAGUAACAAUUGGGGGGCAAGUCUGGUGCCAGCAGCCGCGGUAAUUCCAGCUCCAAUAGCGUAUAUUAAAGUUGUUGCAGUUAAAAAGCUCGUAGUUGAACCUUGGGCCUGGCUGGCCGGUCCGCCUCACCGCGUGCACUGGUUCGGCCGGGCCUUUCCCUCUGGGGAUCCCCAUGCCCUUCACUGGGUGUGGCGGGGAACCAGGACUUUUACUGUGAAAAAAUUAGAGUGUUCAAAGCAGGCCUAUGCUCGAAUACAUUAGCAUGGAAUAAUAGAAUAGGACGUGCGGUUCUAUUUUGUUGGUUUCUAGGACCGCCGUAAUGAUUAAUAGGGACAGUCGGGGGCAUCAGUAUUCAAUUGUCAGAGGUGAAAUUCUUGGAUUUAUUGAAGACUAACUACUGCGAAAGCAUUUGCCAAGGAUGUUUUCAUUAAUCAGGAACGAAAGUUAGGGGCUCGAAGACGAUCAGAUACCGUCGUAGUCUUAACCAUAAACUAUGCCGACUAGGGAUCGGACGA
rnacentral:rRNA from 1 species